rfam:Coccidioides immitis RMSCC 2394 supercont1.7 genomic scaffold, whole genome shotgun sequence.
GACACUGUGGCGGAGUGGUUAACGCGAUGCCCUGCUACCCCUUUGACUCAGCAACUAGGCAUUGCCUUCGGGCGCGCAGGUUCGAAUCCUGCCGGUGUCG